GCGGCCAUUCCAGCAGGGUUGUUGGCAUCAAAAAAUGUUACCAGCGUAUCGCAAGUGCUUGUAUUCACGGCAGUAUCGCCGGUGGUGCUGACGUGAAGCGGUCUAAGCAUGGACCGCACAAUGAAACGAUACUUUUGUAUUGUACUCGUUGUAUUUGGUGCGUUGUUAGCAUCCGGAAGUGGGGGUUGGAGUAUCUUCAACAACUCAAUCACGGUAAUAAUCAACACAUCAGGCAAGUCAGCCCGGUAGCCGUCCUUCGGGGCGGCUUUCCUU
rnacentral:sRNA from 1 species